GCUGUGAGCUCGAUGAGUAGGGCGGGACACGUGGUAUCCUGUCUGAAUAUGGGGGGACCAUCCUCCAAGGCUAAAUACUCCUGACUGACCGAUAGUGAACCAGUACCGUGAGGGAAAGGCGAAAAGAACCCCGGCGAGGGGAGUGAAAAAGAACCUGAAACCGUGUACGUACAAGCAGUGGGAGCACAGAGCAAUCUGUGUGACUGCGUACCUUUUGUAUAAUGGGUCAGCGACUUAUAUUCUGUAGCAAGGUUAACCGAAUAGGGGAGCCGAAGGGAAACCGAGUCUUAACUGGGCGUUAAGUUGCAGGGUAUAGACCCGAAACCCGGUGAUCUAGCCAUGGGCAGGUUGAAGGUUGGGUAACACUAACUGGAGGACCGAACCGACUAAUGUUGAAAAAUUAGCGGAUGACUUGUGGCUGGGGGUGAAAGGCCAAUCAAACCGGGAGAUAGCUGGUUCUCCCCGAAAGCUAUUUAGGUAGCGCCUCGUGAAUUCAUCUCCGGGGGUAGAGCACUGUUUCGGCAAGGGGGUCAUCCCGACUUACCAACCCGAUGCAAACUGCGAAUACCGGAGAAUGUUAUCACGGGAGACACACGGCGGGUGCUAACGUCCGUCGUGAAGAGGGAAACAACCCAGACCGCCAGCUAAGGUCCCAAAGUCAUGGUUAAGUGGGAAACGAUGUGGGAAGGCCCAGACAGCCAGGAUGUUGGCUUAGAAGCAGCCAUCAUUUAAAGAAAGCGUAAUAGCUCACUGGUCGAGUCGGCCUGCGCGGAAGAUGUAACGGGGCUAAACCAUGCACCGAAGCUGCGGCAGCGACACUGUGUGUUGUUGGGUAGGGGAGCGU
rnacentral:rRNA from 1 species